AGUAUUGUGUUUCGAUCACGCUUUUGAGGGAAAUGUUGAUUGUGGGAGCUUUCCACCCCCAAACCUAUUCAAGUUCCUGAGGAUUAUUUUUCAUUCAAUUCUUCUGAAUACAUGAUAGUCAAAAUUGUAUUAGGGGUUCGUUGGCAAAGAGGUUUUUAAAAUUCGAAAACGAAUUGGACGUAUUUCUAUCAAACGGAACUAUGUGCAUUAAGACAUGAGCCCUGAUACCCAUAAGAAUACAUGCAUGACAGGGCUCACGCCAUUAUGCACAUAGGUCUGUUUGACAGAAAUACGUCCAAUUGAAACUAAUAUCAAGUGUUAGCCGUGAGCUCUGCGGCAUCAAGACAGGGGCGUAACUAGUUGCUGCGCGCGGAAGCGGGUUUGACGUAAGGGCGUAUCUUGGCAUAUUUCUUUAAACUCGUCUUAAACCUCUUUAAAAAUCAAUAAUGAUAAAAAAAUUUGACAUAUCAUGAAUUCUGACCUCUUUUCCUAUAAGCCAUUGAAAAAAUGAUCACCGUAGGUUGAAUAGCUAGACGAUGGCACGCAAAAGAAGAUAGCGAAAAUCUUAUUUCCGCUCUCCUGAAAAGUAGCGAAAAACGAGAUACGCCCUUACGUCAGAGGAGCGACGAUUUGUCUACUGGACAUUAUUGAUAUUUGGCCUUUUUAGAUUUUUGGGCAUUCAGGGCUUGGACAUUUUGACCUAUCACCACUUGCUUGCGUUUGGAGUUUUACUUAACUGCGAAGAAACCCAUAGUCUCUAGUGAAUCUAGAGAUUUUUACCUAGGGAUAAACUUAAAACCUGAUUAUUUUGAGCAGGACAGCAGGAGUAUUCAUCCCGAACAAUCGGAAGGAUUUUACCGAUCAUGCUCAUCAUCAUAGGUCCUCUCCUCAUGAUUCUUCUCUGCAUCGGUUAUCAACUUUUCAUACGCGGAAAGAGAAGGAAGCAGUCCAAAGUCAGAUUUCCACGUCCAGCGACAACGGCUGUUGUUCAACCACCAACAGAGCAACCACCGACCCCGGAGCCAACCACGGAGCCGAUCCCACAAAAUCAGCCUCUAUAGACUAUAGACUAUAGACUAUAGUUAUGGGAAAGAAUUGCCGGAAGUCUAACUUCCAAUGCUCUAGUCGCAAAGUAUUUCCGAAUUAAAAUCGCCGAAGCAAUCAGUUUGCUGAUUUGCUUGCGGUAUUAAAGCAGCUUCAUUGACUCUUUGACAUAAAAAAACAACAUAUUUACACCGCUAGAAAUCUCGGAGUGAAAUGCGCAGUGCACAUUUAUUCGAGGAUCGAGGCCUCUGAAAAAUGUGGAUGAUGAAAUUUGUUCCAUUAGCUGAGAAGAGUUAAUUCACUCCGAUCAUUUGCUCCCAAGCGAAAUUCGCUUCGAAUUUCUAACCGAGAUUUUUGAGAGUAUAAUGAAGCUGAUGAGUGUUGUUAAGUUUUUCGUUUGAUGUAAUGAGUAUUGUGUUGACCAAGUUUCCUAAGAUAGUUCGGAUUCGCCAACUAAAACCUAGUGAAAAUUAUUGCGAUGUUUGACUAGGGUAUGUGGGCACAUAUUGAUUCGAUAAACUUUAAUGAGUCUGCAGUCAUAUUUAAGGAUAAAGUUAAGUUUUUAAACCUCGUUUGUUUUAAGUUUUGUAGAUUUUUUAAAAUAAAUGUCUGAUAUUUUUUUUAAUAUGAAGU
rnacentral:lncRNA from 1 species